rnacentral:rRNA from 1 species
GAUGAACGCUGGCGGCGUGCCUAAUACAUGCAAGUCGAGCGAACGGACGAGAAGCUUGCUUCUCUGAUGUUAGCGGCGGACGGGUGAGUAACACGUGGAUAACCUACCUAUAAGGCUGGGAUAACUUCGGGAAACCGGAGCUAAUACCGGAUAAUAUUUUGAACCGCAUGGUUCAAAAGUGAAAGACGGUCUUGCUGUCACUUAUAGAUGGAUCCGCGCUGCAUUAGCUAGUUGGUAAGGUAACGGCUUACCAAGGCAACGAUGCAUAGCCGACCUGAGAGGGUGAUCGGCCACACUGGAACUGAGACACGGUCCAGACUCCUACGGGAGGCAGCAGUAGGGAAUCUUCCGCAAUGGGCGAAAGCCUGACGGAGCAACGCCGCGUGAGUGAUGAAGGUCUUCGGAUCGUAAAACUCUGUUAUUAGGGAAGAACAUAUGUGUAAGUAACUGUGCACAUCUUGACGGUACCUAAUCAGAAAGCCAUGGCUAACUACGUG